GUGAAUCAUCGAAUCUUUGAACGCAUAUUGCACUCUCUGGUAUUCCGGAGAGUAUGCCUAUUUGAGGGUCAUUUGAAAUAAUAUAAAUUCCAAGAUUUCUCGGUAUGUAAAAUGGGUUGUCCAUUUUUUGUUGUCGCCUAAAAUCCAAGACAAGCUCAUUGUCUUUGGUUGCGUGAUACUUUAAGUUACCACGUUUCUUUACCAGGAAUUAUCGUGCGUGUUAUGAAUUUUGCAAGUGAUAAAAAAUUCCAUGGUUUUAUCUCAUGAGAAAUAUAAAG
rnacentral:misc_RNA from 1 species